rnacentral:rRNA from 1 species
UAGCGUAGGGGCCUAGCGUUGUUCCGGAUUUAUUGGGCGUAAAAGAGCUCGUAGGCGGUUUCGGCAAGUCGGAUGUGAAAAUCUCCACGCUUAACGGUGGAGGGGCCAUUCGAAACUGCCGGUGACUUGAGUCCGGUAGGGGAGGAAUGGAAUUCCUGGUGUAGCGGUGGAAUGCGCAGAUAUCAGGAGGAACACCGAUGGCGAAGGCAGUUCUCUGGGCCGUAACUGACGCUGAGGAGCGAAAGCGUGGGGAGCGAACAGG